rnacentral:lncRNA from 1 species
AUGAAAACUGCUGCCCGGCAGGGCUGCUUCCACCAGCCCCCAAGUGCUCGUCUCCAGAACCUUCUUCCUUUCUUUCAAGGAGCCCUGGUCGGAUGGCAGACGCCGCUUCCCUUUGCCGCCAGAAGGGCAGGACAUACUGUGGUCUGCAUUUCACACCCGGAGAAGCCGCCUGCCGUGGGGAUGGAUGGCCAGCCUGCGGUGUCCCUGCUCUGGCGUGGAUUUGACCUUGGCUCCGACUGUGAGAUCCGGCUUUUCUCAAGGCCCCACUGCCCUCCCGCUUGCACAGAGAGCCCCUCCUGGGCAGGGAGGAGGCCACAAGACAGCGCCCAGCAUAUAAGCCACUCCCAGGGGUACAUCCCCAGAGCAGAAGCACCUGUGACGAGGCGGAGGGAUCCCGCUUAGCUUGGGUGCGGGAAGAGCAUUCUGGGAGAGGGAACAGCCUGUGCAAAGGCAGCAAACAGGAAGAUCCGGCAGGUUGACAGUGGCCCCACGGGGUCCCCUGGAGGGGGCAGUGGCGGGGUCCUCAGGGCAAAGCUGGAGGAGGGCUGCCGGUGGCCAGGUGCGCGGGUGGGGGCCUCAGAGGCCAAUCAGGAUAGCUUGAAGUGCACCUGGAGGCCAGGGAGAGCAGGUAGUGACAUUGGCGGGGUCCUGCUUGAAAGGUUCCUAUGACAGGUGCAGGGCACGUAGGAGGGGGGCUAGGUGGGACCUCAACCCGGAGGAAACGCUACAUGGAAGCGUGAAGGGGUAUGCGGGCAUAGAGGGAGGCUCAGGGGACUCGGGGGUGGGGGAGCUGGGACAUCCCCAGGUCGGAAGGUGAGGAGGUGGGUUUGGCUUGGGGCCUGCUGAGGUUUGGUGACUUACAGGUGUCUCAAGGGCUAGGGAGAGGCUUAGGCGGCUUUAUUUUUAAUUUUUUAAUUCUUAUUUUCAGGGCUGCACCCAAGGCAUACGGAGGUUCCCAGGCUGGGGUCGAAUCGGAGCUGCAGCUGCCGGCCUACAUCACAGCCACAGCAAUGCCAGAUCCUUAACCCACGGAGAGAGGCCAGGGAUUGAACCUGCGUCCUCAUGGAUACUAGCUGGGUUCGUUAUGGAUGAGCCACAAUGGGAACUUCGUCUUGGGCUGCUUGAUUGGCAGCUCAGGGCCCAGGGAGAGGUCUCAGUCGGAGAAAAAGAUCUGGGGGUCCCAGGGCUCACGUGGUGAUUUCGGCAUGGAGGGACGCGGUUCCCCCAGGAGGGGGCGCCUGGAGGAGAGAGGGCAGCAGGCUCUGCUCCCGGCCCAGGCACCUGUUAUUCACCGCAGCAGAGCUGCUGCUGCGCUGCUCUCUCAAUCCCGCUCUGAAGCAGGAGGCCACCAAGGCUGGGAAUGUCCUGCUGCCUCUGAUUUCGCAGAGUGAGUGACUGACGC